rnacentral:lncRNA from 1 species
CCCCCCGAAGUUCUGGGACUAUAGGUGUGUGCCACUGUGCAUGACCAAUUUGUCAUUUUACAUCAGCUAUAGUUUAUAUCUGGACCUCCUAAGCUUGUGUCUUGGUAAGAUGCACUAUAGCCCCCCCGUUAAAAGGCAGUCGUGGUGCAGGCAGUUUGGGUGUGCUCAUUGAAUAGGGAGCCAGCUAGAGGGAUCAAUACCUAAAAAAUUGUAGGUGCUCAGCAAACAUUGGUUUAAGUUAAAUGUUUAACUUAUUUGGGAAGACAAACUUUUAAUCUGUGUUUUUGUAUAUAAAUAUUCUCAUAUGUAUAUCCUCCUAAAUGUAUUUCUUCUUUGAGAGCUGCAAAUAGAAAAGAACUCACUCUAAUAAAAGCUAACAUUAUAGUUUUAAUUCUUGGAAAGUUAGCAUCACAGUUUAAUUCUUGGAGGAUAUUAAUUUGCCAACACCCCAUAUAGACCUAAAAUGUAGGAGUUUCAUAUUCUCAGGAAUAAAAAAAAUCUAUAUCCUCAAACAUAUGCAGUGCUUUGCUGAACUGAAUGAGCAUUUCUUACUUAUUAUGUAUUUAACCAUAUUUUAGAAGUGGGCCUCAGGUCUACUUAUCAUAUUUCCAUCUGUGUAGUCAUUACAUAUGCAUCCUCCCACAGCAUACAUUUCUUUGAUAUCUACCAUUCUAAAUUACGAUUUGAGAUUCAUAUUUUAAAAACAUAUAAGGUAACAAUUGUGACCAUAAUAAUGAUUGUAAUUUUCUUCCUGCAUAGGUUUUUAUAACCAUUUCUGUUAGUGUGACUUUUAAGACAAUACUUUUAAGAACAUUUUCCUCAUUAUAAAAGUAGUGUGUGCUCACUGUAGAAAAUUAGGAAAAUACAUAAGUAUAAUAAAAACUAUAUUAGGAUCAUACUGUAUGUGCUGCUGUAAUCCUGCUUUCUCUUUCACUUAAAAAUAUAUUAUGGAAGCAUUUUACAUGCACCUUUUAAUUCUUCUAAACGUGCUUCUCUUUGAAAUGGCCACGUAGGAUUUUCAGGAGUAAAUACCAAUUUUGUCAAUUUGCUAUUUUAGAACUUUCAAACAAUAAAAUCAGAAUCCAUGUUGAUGACAAACUGAAGAACUCAUGGGGGCCAAUGCUGGUAGUCAAGGACUUUUCUCUCAAACACAAAAUGUUGCAAUACCAUAAGAAACAAGUCAAAGCAAGGGAAGACCCCAAAUUCAGCACCCACCCUUUAUUCUGUGUGUUGACACAAAACAUUGAUGAAAGCAAGUGAAGAGUGAGCCUCCUCAUAUUGUCCUCUGUGUAAUAGAACCCACACCAUUGUAUAAGCAGUAAUGACUUCUUUGGCCGUAACUUAAAGACAUCCUAUUUACACUAUGGUCCUUUUUUCAGUUGUGAAUAGAGUGCAUUUAAAUUACAAACUUGGAAGGAAGAGGUAAAAGGAUUACCAAGUGUGAGAGAUGAAUGACAAAAAGCAGUAAAUCCUAUGCGAUCAGAAGGAUAAGUCUCACAGUUCAUCUGACAUAAGAGAUGGAUUACAAUGGCUCUGAAGUGGAAGACAGUUUACUUAGAAAUUUAGCAGUAAUUUGCAUUUAAGGAAUGCAUUAGUGUAUUCACAUAUACAGUUUCAUCAUUGGAUGGUUAACAGGAAUAUAUGGUAUUUGUUUGUGAUUUUAUUGAAUAUGAUGGGUUUUUUUUCAUCAUUCAGGGAAAAUCUGCUUUCCUCAGACUAUUGGCUGCCAUAACCACCAUCAGCCAUUAAAUGACGUAGUGAUGCUGUAUUGACACUGUCCUGUGUAUCUUUCUCUUUGUGGCUCAUUCUGCCCUAGAAAAAUAUCUCUAAGGGGCAGUGCCAGAAUUAACCCCUGCACACUGAUCAACAGAAACUUCUUCUAGAAAUAACUAAGUCUGUCAACCUUUCAAAUAUUUAACUCAUGCAAAGACAUUCAUGGAGAAAUACAAGAGGGAAAUCAUUCUCUUAUAAAAUGGUUAGGACAUCCUGAGUUUCUUUGAAGGAACAAAUAUUGCUUAUGCUAUUUUCUCCUUGAAUUCACAUUAGAAGACACAAAUACAAAUAUAUAAUGUACAUAGUCUUUAACCUAAAAAAUUCUUUAGCACCACAUACCUCUAGAAGAGUAGAAGAGAUAUGGAUAGGAAAAUGGAGUCAAGAAACAAUAAAGACACCUGUCUCAGAAGUUUUCAGGUAUGGACUUAACCCGACUCAAGAACAUACGGUAAUGUCCACCCUCACCUCUCUUUCUUUGUGAUAGUCACUCAUCGUUUUCUGGGAUAAUGCUGGAAGUAGAACAAGGUUUAUUCUUUGCUUUUCUAUGAUGGCAAAUUUUGAAGUUUUAUAAUCCAAAAUGUGGACUUUCAUUCAUAAAUAGGGUUUUAGGAAUGAUGAUGUAAUUUCCAUGUAGCAUCGCCCUAGGAGUAAUGAGAUGCCAUUACUGUAUUAUGGCUACUAACAAUGAUGAGAAGGAGACUUAGAACUGAGCCAGUAAGUAUUUAGAAAACACAAUGCAUUUUACCAAAUCUAAGACAUGCAUUUUUUCAUUUUUAAUACCUCUGAAUCAGUUUGUCUUACAAUUGAUUAUAUCGUCAAGUUACCAGAUGCUGAAUGUGAAAAAGUUUUAGUAAUAUUUUAAACAACAUAUUUUCCUUAUAUUUUCUUGUUUAUUGUAUUAAUAAACAAUGUAUGAUAGCAUCUUAAAUGUGAUGAAAUAUAGAGCUGUGCUUUUAAUUUGUAAUAAAUGAAGGUAAAAUUAUUCACUGUUUUGGUAGUACUUAUAACUGAUAUUCAAAUAUAUCAACAUAUACCAUCUCCAAAACUCCCCUAGACAAAGAAAACACAUUGUCUUGGAAAGACGUUCCACAAAAUGAAAUUGAAAAUCUCAUCCUGAUUCUGUUUAGAAACUUACUUUCUCAAAUCUAACUAAUGGGGUAUUGGGCCAGGUAGAUUAGUGAAUUCCACACAUAAUCCCCCCAAACUCAAUUUAUUCAUUAAAUUCACUUCUUCUUCCUCUACGAAAUGGAUUCCUAAGGCUAGAGGACUAACCAGCUAGAUCAAUUUAUUACCUUUUCUUACCUUUCCUUUCUGAUAGUCAAUAAUGAAAGAAAUGCACAAGUCAGAAAGAAGCAGUAACACAAGGGCCCAGAUUAUCCCUAAAUGGAAAAACCAUCCCUAGAUAACAGAGAGCCCGCUGUAGCUUUAAAUCUUUCUAUAGGAUUCAGUUCAAAAUAUUGGGGUAGAAUAUAGAUACCAUAUAUGUAUUAUGGAUAUGCAUUGUAUGUAUAUGUGUGUAUAUGCACAGUAGGCACACACAUAUUUAAUUACACAGUCACAUGUGUUAAAAAGGCUUUGACCACAAUGUUCUGAAAACCACUCUUAAGAAGCAAGAAUGUGCAUGUUAAAGUUACUUUCUGGGUUAACAGAGAUGAGGAGAAAAGUUAUUGGGGUUUGCGAAUUUAUUUUAAAUACAUUCCUUAAAAAUACCCACUGACCUACAUUUAUUGAAAGAAAAACAGUCAACUACAAAUGUAAUUGUUAUCCUGUCAAGAAUUUAUUAAUAGACAGGCUGAUGUCAUCUUUGUUUAAAUGCUCUAAGUUGACCGAAUUUCAUUUACAUUAAUGGAUGGAAAGUCCUUUUCUUACUUGUCCAACAAACUGGAGACAAAGUGCCUGCCAAUGUUUUAAUUUCUUUUUCAUGUUCUAGUUAGAGAGUGAGAAGAAUGCUUUCACUCCACAGUGUCAUGAAUAUGAUAAUCUAUGGAAAUCACGGGAAAGCAGAUGAUCACAGGGUACGUGAGGUGGAGUCCAUGAGUGGAGUCUUUUAAAGGACAUAGGAUACCUCUCUUAGUAGUGGAAGAGAAGACAGAGGGUGAAAGUGCAGACAAUGUGAUGCCACCUAGGCAUAAACCCUAAGGAAUUCUAAUUGUGAAUUUGAAAACAAAACAGAUCAUAUCACUGGGAGGGACCUCAUAGAUCAUGUAGUCAAACCCCCUCAUGUUACCGGUGAGAAAACUGAGACACAGAGGGAGUCAUCAGGCUGCCAUAGGUCACAAAACCAGCUGACAGCAAAGUGAAGAUCAGAGCCCCAUCUCCUAAUUCCCAAGUGAGUGCUGUUUCCAAUAUGCCACAUUACCUCCCCCAGCAAGAUGCCUCCCAUGGGGCAUUGCUUCUUGAAGA